UAGAACUGUCUCUUGCCUAUGUCUAAGGAU
rnacentral:piRNA from 1 species